CCUACGGAAGGCAGCAGUGGGGAAUAUUGGGCAAUGGGCGCAAGCCUGACCCAGCAACGCCGCGUGAAGGAAGAAGGCUUUCGGGUUGUAAACUUCUUUUCUCAGGGACGAAGCAAGUGACGGUACCUGAGGAAUAAGCCACGGCUAACUACGUGCCAGCAGCCGCGGUAAUACGUAGGUGGCAAGCGUUAUCCGGAUUUACUGGGUGUAAAGGGCGUGUAGGCGGGACUGCAAGUCAGAUGUGAAAACCACGGGCUCAACCUGUGGCCUGCAUUUGAAACUGUAGUUCUUGAGGACUGGAGAGGCAGACGGAAUUCCUGGUGUAGCGGUGAAAUGCGUAGAUAUCAGGAGGAACACCGGUGGCGAAGGCGGCCUGCUGGACUGCAACUGACGUUGAGGCCCGAAAGCGUGGGGAGCAAACAGGAUUAGAUACCCCUGUAGUC
rnacentral:rRNA from 1 species